AUUUAUGUAGUUUAUAAAAACAUUACAUUUUCAUUGUAAAAUUAGAAUAACUUCUCAUAAAUA
rnacentral:tRNA from 1 species